rnacentral:rRNA from 1 species
CAGAGGGGGCAAGCGUUAUUCGGAAUUAUUGGGCGUAAAGGGCGCGUAGGCGGCUUUGCAAGCGACGGGUGAAAUCCCUCGGCUUAACCGAGGAACUGCCUGUCGAACUGCAUGGCUCGAGACCAGGAGAGGUGAGUGGAAUUCCCAGUGUAGCGGUGAAAUGCGUAGAUAUUGGGAGGAACACCAGUGGCGAAGGCGGCUCACUGGACUGGUACUGACGCUGAGGCGCGAAAGCGUGGGGAGCAAACAGGAUUAGAUACCCUGGUAGUCCACGCCGUAAACGAUGAGUGCUUGGUGUAGCGGGUAUCGACCCCUGCUGUGCCGAAGUCAACACAUUAAGCACUCCGCCUGGGGAGUACGGUCGCAAGGCUG